rnacentral:rRNA from 1 species
CCUACGGGAGGCAGCAGUGAGGAAUAUUGGUCAAUGGACGAGAGUCUGAACCAGCCAAGUAGCGUGAAGGAUGACUGCCCUAUGGGUUGUAAACUUCUUUUAUAUGGGAAUAAAAUGUUCCACGUGUGGGAUUUUGUAUGUACCAUAUGAAUAAGGAUCGGCUAACUCCGUGCCAGCAGCCGCGGUAAUACGGAGGAUCCGAGCGUUAUCCUGAUUUAUUGGGUUUAAAGGGAGCGUAGGUGGAUUGUUAAGUCAGUUGUGAAAGUUUGCGGCUCAACCGUAAAAUUGCAGUUGAAACUGGCAGUCUUGAGUACAGUAGAGGUGGGCGGGAUUCGUGGUGUAGCGGUGAAAUGCUUAGAUAUCACGAAGAACUCCGAUUGCGAAGGCAGUUCACUGGACUGCAACUGACACUGAGGCUCGAAAGUGUGGGUAUCAAACAGGAUUAGAUACCCUUGUAGUC